GGCAAUUUGGCCGAGUGGUUAARGCGUAAGAAUAGAAAUCUUUUGGGCUCUGCCGCRCAGGUUCGAAUCCUGCAGUUGUCG
rnacentral:tRNA from 1 species